AGAGUUUGAUCAUGGCUCAGAUUGAACGCUGGCGGCAGGCCUAACACAUGCAAGUCGAACGGUAACAGGAAGAAGCUUGCUUCUUUGCUGACGAGUGGCGGACGGGUGAGUAAUGUCUGGGAAACUGCCUGAUGGAGGGGGAUAACUACUGGAAACGGUAGCUAAUACCGCAUAACGUCGCAAGACCAAAGAGGGGGACCUUCGGGCCUCUUGCCAUCGGAUGUGCCCAGAUGGGAUUAGCUUGUUGGUGGGGUAACGGCUCACCAAGGCGACGAUCCCUAGCUGGUCUGAGAGGAUGACCAGCCACACUGGAACUGAGACACGGUCCAGACUCCUACGGGAGGCAGCAGUGGGGAAUAUUGCACAAUGGGCGCAAGCCUGAUGCAGCCAUGCCGCGUGUAUGAAGAAGGCCUUCGGGUUGUAAAGUACUUUCAGCGGGGAGGAAGGGAGUAAAGUUAAUACCUUUGCUCAUUGACGUUACCCGCAGAAGAAGCACCGGCUAACUCCGUGCCAGCAGCCGCGGUAAUACGGAGGGUGCAAGCGUUAAUCGGAAUUACUGGGCGUAAAGCGCACGCAGGCGGUUUGUUAAGUCAGAUGUGAAAUCCCCGGGCUCAACCUGGGAACUGCAUCUGAUACUGGCAAGCUUGAGUCUCGUAGAGGGGGGUAGAAUUCCAGGUGUAGCGGUGAAAUGCGUAGAGAUCUGGAGGAAUACCGGUGGCGAAGGCGGCCCCCUGGACGAAGACUGACGCUCAGGUGCGAAAGCGUGGGGAGCAAACAGGAUUAGAUACCUUGGUAGUCCACGCCGUAAACGAUGUCGACUUGGAGGUUGUGCCCUUGAGGCGUGGCUUCCGGAGCUAACGCGUUAAGUCGACCGCCUGGGGAGUACGGCCGCAAGGUUAAAACUCAAAUGAAUUGACGGGGGCCCGCACAAGCGGUGGAGCAUGUGGUUUAAUUCGAUGCAACGCGAAGAACCUUACCUGGUCUUGACAUCCACAGAACUUUCCAGAGAUGGAUUGGUGCCUUCGGGAACUGUGAGACAGGUGCUGCAUGGCUGUCGUCAGCUCGUGUUGUGAAAUGUUGGGUUAAGUCCCGCAACGAGCGCAACCCUUAUCCUUUGUUGCCAGCGGUCCGGCCGGGAACUCAAAGGAGACUGCCAGUGAUAAACUGGAGGAAGGUGGGGAUGACGUCAAGUCAUCAUGGCCCUUACGACCAGGGCUACACACGUGCUACAAUGGCGCAUACAAAGAGAAGCGACCUCGCGAGAGCAAGCGGACCUCAUAAAGUGCGUCGUAGUCCGGAUUGGAGUCUGCAACUCGACUCCAUGAAGUCGGAAUCGCUAGUAAUCGUGGAUCAGAAUGCCACGGUGAAUACGUUCCCGGGCCUUGUACACACCGCCCGUCACACCAUGGGAGUGGGUUGCAAAAGAAGUAGGUAGCUUAACCUUCGGGAGGGCGCUUACCACUUUGUGAUUCAUGACUGGGGUGAAGUCGUAACAAGGUAACCGUAGGGGAACCUGCGGUUGGAUCACCU
rnacentral:rRNA from 1 species